rnacentral:rRNA from 1 species
AAGGUCACCACGUUACAGCCAAGAGCAGUGGCCAAGAUGCCGCACCGAAAUAGAGCUUCCCUUCGACGGUUUUUGAACAAGCUCUCAAAUUGAAGAGCUGUUUGUCUAGUGACGAGAAGAUCAGCCUGGCCCAUUAACAUGACAGGCUGCCUUGACUGUCGCAACUGGCCUGGCCCGAUCCGGCUAAGGCCGAAGAAUGACGACUUGGAGGCGAAGAAAGAAGAAAUCGGACGGCUGCGGCUAGGCGGUGGUCGAAUCGUGGCCGCUCCAAAAUCGAAGGGUUUUAACCAAGUGAGGCUUGUUCGGUUUUGUUUCCUGCGGCUGCGGCGACAGGUCAGACAGAGCGGAAUUCCCUUCCUCCCGCUAGCUCGGGGCGGAUCCAUCCACCCGGCGGACCAUCUCUCAUCUCUCUGGGGCGCCAUGUCGGAGCACGCCGCCCCGGAGCUACCCAAGAGGUGCCACCACUGCGCAGGGCCCCUCUCCAAGGACAUGGAAACUAGCAGCUGGACCGUGACUCCAUUAGUUCGAGAUAGCUUCUCAAUGGUUUGUUCCAUCGCCUUUUACCGCCCACCAGUGCAAAUUGGUUCCGCUGUUGGGGGUACUGCAGGCGCAUUUUAUGCGUUUAAUCAUGCUAUGCCUGUUGUUCGGCGUUACAUAAAAGGGCCGAUGUGGAUGCAUUUUCUUGUUGGUGCCCCUCCAGUUGUUGUAUUCUCUUCUGCGUGUGCUGGAUUAGCAGCUGGUACAAUUCCAGCCCUUGCACAACUGGUUUCGUCGUCCUGUCAUGCCGCCAUGUCAUCGCCCUCCUUCGCCCGCCCUGCUUCUCCCGAUGACAUGCACAAGAGCAGAGGCUCCUCGCCAUUGUAAUUUACUAGCGCAGCCGACCAGCUACUGAAUUGUACUGCUCUAAGAAAUCUGUGCCACCUUAUGAAGGAUGUAAAUGUUAAGAUUUCAUGCGGAAGGAUGUUUUAACUGACAUGUGCUCCUUUCACUUAGUUUUUGUUGGUAUCUAUUUCUAUGUAUAGGUUAUGCCCUCUUAUCUUGUGUUAAUAUUUUGUAUUAAAAUAAGUAUUGCAGUGUUGUGAACCAUCUUAAACCAGCCCGAGGUUCAGCUAUUUUCUUCUGCAAAAUGCAAGCAUG